rnacentral:rRNA from 1 species
AGCGAACGCUGGCGGCAGGCCUAACACAUGCAAGUCGAACGAACUCUUCGGAGUUAGUGGCGGACGGGUGAGUAACACGUGGGAACGUGCCUUUAGGUUCGGAAUAACUCAGGGAAACUUGUGCUAAUACCGAAUGUGCCCUUCGGGGGAAAGAUUUAUCGCCUUUAGAGCGGCCCGCGUCUGAUUAGCUAGUUGGUGAGGUAAAGGCUCACCAAGGCGACGAUCAGUAGCUGGUCUGAGAGGAUGAUCAGCCACAUUGGGACUGAGACACGGCCCAAACUCCUACGGGAGGCAGCAGGGGGGAAUCUUGCGCAAUGGGCGAAAGCCUGACGCAGCCAUGCCGCGUGAAUGAUGAAGGUCUUAGGAUUGUAAAAUUCUUUCACCGGGGACGAUAAUGACGGUACCCGGAGAAGAAGCCCCGGCUAACUUCGUGCCAGCCGCCGCGGUAAUAC